GUGCCAGCAGCCGCGGUAAUACGUAGGUGGCAAGCGUUGUCCGGAUUUAUUGGGCGUAAAGCGCGCGUAGGCGGUUUUUUAAGUCUGAUGUGAAAGCCCCCGGCUUAACUUGGGAGGGUCAUUGGAAACUGGGUGUCUUGAGUGCAGAAGAGGAAAGUGGAAUUCCAAGUGUAGCGGUGAAAUGCGUAGAGAUUAGGAAGAACACCAGUGGCGAAGGCGUCUUUCUGGUCUGGAACUGACGCUGAGGCACGAAAGCAUGGGGAGCAAACAGGAUUAGAUACCCUGGUAGUCCAUGCCGUAAACGAUGAGUGCUAAGUGUUAGGGGGAU
rnacentral:rRNA from 1 species